ACUUCAUGAAUUUUCCAUCUCUCCACUCAUCAAACCCUCUUCUGACGCUAUCUUCCCUCCGUUUCUUCCAUCAAACUUUGAUGCUUUCCGCUUUCCACAACUCUUGGUAGAUCAAGAAAACCAUCAAUUUUCAUCUUUUUCUUUCAAUCCACAUUUUUUAGGGUUCUUGAUCACAAUCUUUGCAACAUUCUACCAAUUCCCAUAUAGGUUCCAAAAAUGGAAGAUGGAAAGAAUGAGAAUCAUCUGAUUUCACCUGCUGCUUUUGUGGAAGGAGGGUUACAAGAAGCUUGUGAGGAUUCUUGUAGCAUUUGCCUUGAAGAUUUUUGUGAUAAUGAUCCAAAAACGGUUACUUGCUGCAGGCAUGAGUUUCAUAUUCAAUGCAUUCUUGAAUGGAGUCAAAGAAGCUCUAGUUGUCCUAUAUGUUGUCAAGCGGUUAGCUUGAAAGAUCCAUCCAGUCAAGAGCUACUGGAGGCUGUAGCGCGAGAGAGACAUGUGAGAUAUAACCCAACAAGAACUUCCGCGAUAUUUCAUCAUCCGACUCUUGGUGAUUUCGAAAUUCGAAACUUGCCGGUUGGCUUUAGUGGUAGUGAACUUGAGGACCGAAUCGUUCAACAUCUGGCCGCAACCGCAGCUGCCAUGGGGAGUGCCCACCACGUGGGCCCAAGGAACCGCGUGUCGAUCGGUCACAACCAAUAUGGUGCCAUCAUGUCGGUUACUGGCGGUUUGGUUCAAGAGCAAGCUGAACCAGUUGCUGAACCGGCUGCUGUUGACUCUGCUAGUGGGGGUGGCACGGUUCAACAUUUAACCACAUCUGGAAUGGUGAACGGGUCAAAUAGUCAACAUGGGACCUCGGUUAUUCAUAGAAGCUCGAGCGGUCUAUCUUCUGGGCCUGAUCAGGUUAACGCAGGGCCAUCAGAAAUAAACGGAGCUUCAGAUACAUGGAAAUCGAGAUUUAACGCAUUUUCAACAAGAUAUAAAGAAUCAUUUUCGAAGAGUACACGAGGGUGGAAAGAUAAACUUUUUAACAAAGGUCCUCCAUCCACGUCAAAUAUCGGUUCAGAAGUACGGAGAGAAGUUAAUACGGGUAUCGGUAACAUUUCUCGCAUGAUCGAACGCCUUGAUGUGAGAGAAAACAAUAGACAAAAUGAUAAUCAUCAGGUUUCAGAUGCUAGAGAGAGUAAUCAUAAUCGAGUUGAGACAGCUGGCGUGAGCGGUGCAAGCUAGCGUGUUUUGCUAAUGUUUGAGCAAUAAAAUCUUCUGCUGGCAGUUACAUUUAAAGGCUUAAUGGAUGAUCUACACUACACAAGAAGAUGAAUUUUGUCACAAAAUUUAAAUGUUAUAAAGUUGGUGAUCAUGGAUGAGUUGGUGUCCGGAAAAUAGGGGGAACAGGUGAGUAUUGUGAUGGUGCCAACGUGGCACAACGGAGCAAUGUGAUUGGUCCCAUGUAUACCCCAGCAGCACCGUUGGAUUGAGCUGUCUUAAGAUGGGUUGGUUGUAUGUUUUCAUGUUGAUCAACGGCUUACAAUUGACGGUUAUAAUGGAAUAUUUGAAAGUGUUAUAUGGGGGUUGGUGGUAUGUAUGUCAUAUUAUAUUAUUAU